rnacentral:rRNA from 1 species
GGGCCCGCACAAGCGGAGGAACAUGUGGUUUAAUUCGAUGAUACGCGAGGAACCUUACCCGGGCUUGAAAUGGAGACGAAUGACGGGGAAACUUGUCAGUCAGUAAUGACGUCUUUGUAGGUGCUGCAUGGUUGUCGUCAGCUCGUGCCGUGAGGUGUCGGCUUAAGUGCCAUAACGAGCGCAACCCUUACCAUUAGUUACUAUCAGGUUAAGCUGAGGACUCUAGUGGGACUGCCGCCGUAAGGUGUGAGGAAGGUGGGGAUGACGUCAAAUCAGCACGGCCCUUACGUCCGGGGCGACACACGUGUUACAAUGGGGGUACAACGGGCAGCUACCGUGCGAGCGGAUGCUAAUCUCUAAAACCUCUCUCAGUUCGGAUCGGAGUCUGCAACUCGACUCCGUGAAGCUGGAUUCGCUAGUAAUCGCGCAUCAGCCAUGGCGCGGUGAAUACG